rnacentral:tRNA from 1 species
GCCUUAGUGGUGCAAUGGUCAGCACACUGAGCCGGUAUUUCAGAGGUCCGUGGUUCGAUUCCCGGCAAAGGAA